CCCGUCGACCGCGUCCACCCGGCGCCGCCAAUCGCGACCCCCGCCGCCCUUCCCGUGAUGCCCCGCGGCUGACCUGCGACCUCGCGGCUCACCACUCCCUGCGGCCCGCUUCUCUCCCCGCCCCCGCCGAGCUCGCAGCGCUCCGGCGGCCGCGGGGCGUGCCACCAGGCGCAGCUCCUCCUUUAGCGAUUCGAGGCCCUCAGCGGGCGCCCUCCCUUCGCCUUUUCUCCCCGCGGCUGGGCCCGGCGGGCGGGAAGCUGUGGCCGCGUCCGUGAGACAACUGGUCGGAUUCAAGAUGACCAACGAGGAACCUCUUCCUAAAAAGGUUCGACUGAGUGAAACAGACUUCAAAGUUAUGGCACGAGAUGAAUUAAUUCUCAGGUGGAAACAAUAUGAAGCAUAUGUGCAAGCUUUGGAGGGCAAGUACACAGAUCUUAACUCUAAUGAUGUAACUGGCUUAAGGGAAUCUGAAGAAAAACUAAAGCAACAACAGCAAGAGUCUGCACGCAGGGAAAACAUUCUUGUAAUGCGACUAGCAACCAAGGAGCAAGAGAUGCAAGAGUGUACUACUCAAAUCCAGUACCUCAAGCAAGUCCAGCAGCCUAGCGUUGCCCAACUGAGAUCAACAAUGGUAGACCCAGCGAUCAACUUGUUUUUCCUAAAAAUGAAAGGUGAACUGGAACAGACUAAAGACAAACUGGAACAAGCCCAAAAUGAACUGAGUGCCUGGAAGUUUACGCCUGAUAGAGGCCUGAUGGCGUCGGACUAUUCCGAAGAAGUGGCCACCUCCGAAAAAUUCCCCUUCUAGAACAUGUAGACACUUGAGAAAUGUUUCUGUUUGAAGAAAAUAGAGGGAGAAACAGAAGUCUUAAGUCUGUGGCACACUGUGUCUUCAGACAGUUUGGAGGAAUGAAAACCUAGAGAUUUAAAAUCAUGAAUUGAACAUGUAAAAUUCCAGUAAAUGUAAAGAUGGAAUAUGCAUCGCUCUUAACCUUGAGCAUAGUGACUUAGAGACACUGUAUAUCAGUUUUGCCAAUAAGACUGUGGACUUCGUGAUUGUUGUUGAACUUCUGGGUCAAACUCAAAUGAGGUGAAUUUUGCCUUUAAAGGGUUUAUUUGCUAAGAACCAACUUAAUAGUCAUGAGAGAAUCAAAUAAUAGAUGUCAGUACAAGUAGUUCAUAUAUUUAACCAUUUAGUUUGGGGCUCCAUAUUACUUGAUUGAGCCUUAAAUCAAUGUGGUUUUACUCAAUGGUUUGUUCUUUGAAUGGUUGCUAAUACUGUAGAUAAUCUUAUUGAGGACUGUACAAAUAAUGAAGGUGUGGUAUCAAACUUCAGGUCUAAACUGUUUGAAGCAUUAUAAACAUUCAUUUCACAACUAGAUUGUAUAAGGAUAUUAGCUGUGAUGAGACUCACUGCGUUAUUUUUUUCAGUAGUGAAAUUUAUUAAAUCCCCAUUCCAUUCAACAGGCACAUGUUGAAAGAGCAUUGUCGUUGGUGUUAAUGGGGGAAUGUGUUCCUUCAUUGUAUUUGGGCCUUUUGUAUUGCACUCUUGAUAUUAAAUUAAAUGUGCCUUGAAAUAGUUGGUUUUUUUUUUUUGUUUUGGUUUUGUUUUUUAAGUUCAAGGAUUACUAUGAUGAUUUUGUUGUACUUCUAACAUUUUGGUUUUGGGGGGGCUGUGAGAGCAGAUUGAUUUCAAAAAAAUUGUUGCUAUGCUCUUCAAAGUGAAGGAGAAGGCUCUGUGUCUCAUUUUUUAAAGACCUACUUUUUUUCCAGCUGGUAUCAUAAAAGACAAGGAGACUUGACACUUGUUGCUUUUUGACACCUUGUCCCAGGAUAUUGCAGUAGACAUUAAUGUGGGACAGCUUCACAGGGUGCCUGCCAGAAGAUUGGGGACAGAAUGUAUUGGAACUGUGGGCUGGCCUAAGUGAGACAUUUUGUGAAUUGGAGAAAAAUAUAUAUAUAUAUAGUGAUCAUUUCUAGCAAAUUCAUUUGAUCAUUUAGAUAAAAGAGGCAUUAUUUUCUUCAUGCUUCCAUCCAAUCCUGGAGGUGAAUUUUUUCGUCAGAUCAUUCUAUAAGUCACCAAUUCGAAUUUUCACUUGGUGAUAAUGGAGUCUAAGAUGAGUGGAAGAUAAAUGUUCCAGAUUGCCCCAACGUUUAAGUGCAGUUUUAACAAGGGUGACUUAAGUUCUCUCUUAAUCAUUCAAAUCAAUUCCAAACAGGCAAAAAGUUAAUGGCGAAGUGUCGAAUGCUUAUCCAGGAGAAUCAAGAGCUUGGAAGGCAGCUGUCCCAGGG